rnacentral:lncRNA from 1 species
AAAAUGAAACAAACAGGGUAACAAAAACUGAAACAGGGUUGAAGGAAAGUAAAAUCUAACUCCCCAUCUCGGAGCAUAACGCCGUCAUUGCAAAAUAUUUAUAGAAAAUGUACGACAAAAGCUAUUACGCGUCUAAGAAGACAAUCAGCUAGUUACCUGGAGUCAUGUGGCAUUCCUAUGAUUAAAGACAUAACUUGGUAAGAUCAAUAAUCACAGAAAACCAAUUGAGCAGUUGGGGAGGAUCUUGGCAUUCUCAACAGUUUCUGUGAUGCCAAAAACAAAGAUUUUGAUGGACGUUGAGGUGGCAUGAUUCCUUUUACGUUGAUCACCAUCUUUUCUAGAUUGAUUGCGUAUUUUAACAGAUACUCUAAGAAUGGAAAUACGUCGUCAUCCUCAUCCCAAGUAACCACAACUGUCCUCAACUGCAGAAAGGACUUGGGAGGAUAUGCUUCAAACUUGAGGUAGCUCAUGGCAUCAAAGUUGAGUGACUCUCGGUUUUCAUGCGCCCCGUAUCCUCCACUCCAUACAAUGACUAACUUCUUUAAUUGAGGGAAACUCUCAAGUAGGCCUACUAAUAGUUUGUAGUCACUGAAACAAAAUCUGAGUUCUAAGGACUUGACAUUAGGAUAAGAGGAAUUNCCCGUAUCCUCCACUACAUACAAUGACUAACUUCUUUAAUUGAGGGAAACUCUCAAGUAGGCCUACUAAUAGUUUAGUAGUCACUGAACAAAAUCUGAGUUCUAAGGACUUGACAUUAGGAUAAGAGGAAUUCAUGCAUCUCUUUAUCAUAGCUCCAAGCACCUAAUGUAACAUAAGUUCAUAAAAUAAUCAGCUCACUGAAGCAAACACCAAGUAAGAUAAAAGGCAAGCAUUGAUUUUUAGGGAUGCAACAGUGACUUCAUCAAAUUAAAAGAAUGUCAAACAUUCCAUAUCAUUUAUGGUUAUUACAAUACUAACAUACAAGUCACAAGCUUGAUGCUACAAAGUAAUGCAUAUAUAAAUUCUAGAAUGGAUUUAAAAAGGCCAAAAAAUGGAUAGGAGUUAGUUGCAUGAUAAAUGUGGGAACUCUUAUAAGUGGUUCAGUUAAAGAAGCCAAUGAUGCAACAAAGAAAGCAUACAAACACCGCCAUGCCAUCCAAGCUGAGAUUCACAGAUUAAUUGAAGUUAGAAUUACGAGAACAUGACUAACAACUAUGCUAAAUAAAUAAUGAAAACUUCAUCAAUAUAUUUAGAAUUAAUUUGAUCUCUUCAGUCUCAUUGCUACUCUAUUAAUACAUAACAAAUGCAAGACACAUAAGAUAGUUUAAAGAAACCAAACCUUGAUGCAAAGAACAUUAAUUUGACGUUUACAACAUGUUGCAUGGUUGAGAGAAAUUGACAGAACACGUCUCCCAGAAAAUCAUCCUUGGUAAACAAGCCAAGCUUGGUGUCCAUCCAAGGAAAGACACUUUCAUUUCCAUCAAAUUCAUAACCAUGUAGACCAAAAAACCCAAGAGUUGCAUUGGUCAAAGAUGAGAUAUUCACCAACAUACUCUUUCUAUAUGGAACUCCUUCAAUUUCCAAGGUUUCAAGAUUCGGGGUACAAAUUCUCAGUUCGGAAUCCCACCAUAGUAGAUCUUCACGAGAACAAAAAAACUCGCGAAUCGACAGCACUUUCAAACUAGUAGAUCGGAUACACAAGUGUUCACCCAUAUCGACAAAAGACAUGAUCAAGACUUCCAACUGAGGACUACCACAAAGUAUCUGGUUAAUCAAAGUUCAGUGACCCCAAAGCCAUAAGUAAUUGUUAAACUUUUGAGUUGAUUCCACUGCACAUUCCCAUAUACUCUAAAGUUACAAUCCUCAAACGAUAACACCUUAAGCGAUGAGCACGAGUAUACACACUGUGGCACAUAGUAUAUGUCGUCCAUACUAUCAAAAUCAUCAUCCCAAUCUUUUGGUAACCUAAUAUGUAAGUAGAAUUCUUCGACCCCUUAUCUGCAAAUUGAACCACAAAUCAACCCAAAUAAUGGACCCAUCAUUCUGAUAAACCGAUUUGACCUUAUAACCCAUUUAACUUGAAUUUCAGAACCUUACCCCAUUCCAGCGAUAAGGCCCGAUUAACGAAGUUUUAAGCUUUCUAUCAUCAUAAUUCAUGCAUAUUGUCGAAAUUAAGGAGGUGCGGUGGUCCAAAGGUUUUUCCAGCGCUUCGAUAGAAUCGUUGUCCUAACAACAUCAGUCAUAGGCAACGACCAAAAUAUGUGAAAUAUUAACGAGUCCGGCAACUCACUGAGUCGAUCCAUGAAAACCUCUGAAACAUAUGAAGCAUCAAUGAAUGAAAUGAGCACAAAAACUCAGAAUUCACCUUUAAUGGAAGCAAAAUAACACAUAUUAUAUAAAAUUCUGAAGAUUGAUUACCUAAGAUGAACGCGUCUUCUUCGCGCCAACAAAACCCUUGUUUGAGCUAAUGAACUGACGGACACUGAAGUGAAAAUUAAGGGGUGGUCUCACUACUAUAAAAAGGGCCUUUAAAAUUGGUUUUAAAUUUCACUCAAAUUAAUCUUUUUAUUUUUAAAAUCGAACAUUUUAUUAAAUUUACAAUAAUUAAAUAAAAUGGUAUUUAUAGAUAAAUUUAUGUGAAAAAUGGAAGAAAUGGAAUAGUAUUUAUAGAUAAAUUUUAGAAUAAAAAGGAAAAGAACAACCGUUGCAAUGGCUAAUUUAAAAAAAUGGACAAAAAGAGCCAUUGGGAUUAAUUUAAAGUUUAAUUUUGAAAUAGCGCGCAUAGCAUGCACCUCAUAUUUCUUAAUGAAAGCACGGCGUGAGGCUUAAAGCUCGGCACAAGCUUGAGGUGUGGCACUAGGAGGGCGGUGCAGAUAGCGAGGCUCGAUGUGACGGGUAGAGUCCCAUUGCGGAUGUUCUAAAUAAGAAUAUAUCUUAUACACUGAUAUAGUGAUAUGUAUUUAUUCGCAUGUAUUUAUAUUAGGUUGUUUCCUUGGUCUUCAUUAUUAUAUUGUAGUCUUGUUUAAGGUUCACCUCAAUCAAUUAACAAACAAGGAUAAUGUAUCAUUCAUUUUUGUUAGAGCUAAAUUAUUAACUCUAUUUUAUUUAUAUAGUUUUAUCUUUUUUAUUAAAUAUAUUAUAUUUCAGAGAAUAUAUAUUGUUUUUUUUUUUUGUUGAAGGAAGAGAAUAUAUAUUGUUAGAUUGCAUUUGCAACAUAUUAAUUUGGUUAUGGGCCGGAAAUAAUUUGGUUAUGGGUCAGAGUUUGGGCUCACCAUCCUUAAUUUUCAAGCUUCAAUAGCUCUAUAAAUAGAGCCCAAAAAUUGCACCUAAUCAAACCACAAACACAUUUUUAUGAAAUCGAUUUUUUAAUGUCUAGAACUUAGAAACCCAAAAACUUUUUUAUUCCAUGGGCAACUCACUAUAUAGGAUGCUCCAUCGUGAUUAUGUUUUUUUUUUUCCUUUAUUAAAUAAACAAAAUAUUUAGUUGAUAACUAAUAAAAGAGGUGACAAUUUCAGUUCUCUUUUGCUUGAAUACAACAGAAAUCUAAAUGAUCAACGUUUUAUAUGUGAAAGAAAUGAAAUCAUUAACAAGUAUUUGAAGCCCUAGACUAAUUUGACAUUGGGAAGUAAAGCAAAAUAAGUAACAAUCUAGAUUUCAUCCAUAACAAUAAGGAGUAAACAAGUGUGCUACAAAUGAAAAGAGCAUCAACUUAAUCCAAAAGUGUCAAAUUGCUCUGCUUCCCAGAAUAAUCAAAUAUAAUCCCCAAAAUGAAACAGAGGACAUUAAAAUUGCAAACUAUUACACAUCUAAGAAGACUAUCAGUUACAAGGAAUCAUGCUGUAUUCCUCUAUGAUUGAAGACAUAACUUGGUAAGAUCAAUAUUCACUUAAAGUGAACCGUGCAGCUAGGGAGGAUCUUGGCAUUCUCAGCAGCCUCUUUGACGCUAAACGCAAGGAGUUAGAAGGGUGUGAAGGUGACAUGGUUCUUUUUACUCGAAACACAAUCUUUUCUAGCUUACUCGCAUUUUUCAACAGAAACUCUAGAAAUGGAAAUAAGAUGUCACCCUCAACCAAAGUAACCUCAACCCUCCUCAACUCCAGCACAAACGACAUAGGAAGAUUUUUUUCAAGCUGGAGGUAGGUGUUAGCAGUCCGCAGUGAAUCACGGUAAUCAUAGGACGGGACACAUUCUCCAACUUCAAUGAAUAACUUCUUUAAUAGAGGGGAAAUCUCAAUCAUACCUACAUAUUUAAGAAUGAAAUCUGUGCCGUAAGGACUUGACAUUAGGAGAGAUGAAUUCAUGCAUCCUCUAUCAUAGCUCAAGCACCUGUUGUAUCAAUAAGUUUAUAUAAGAGGAUGAGCUGAUUGAAGCAAAGACCAGUAAGAUACAAGGCACAACAUUGAUUCAUGGGUAUGUAAUGAUAAUUCCCUAAAUUUAAGAGGUGUCCAUAAUUGGUUCAAAGCUAAUCAUAAUAAUGCAAAAUUACUCAACAUAAAAUCUCUAAAAUGUGAUUAGAAAGGCAAAAAAAGAUAGAGUUUAUCCCUGAUAAAUGUGAUAACCUUAAUAUAUUUGAUUCAGUGAAGAAGCCACUUAUGAAACAAAGAAAAACAUACAAACACAGCCAAGCCAUCCAUGCACAUUCAUGUAAUAAUUAACACAACAUAAUCAAUAGGUAUGCCAAAUAAACUAUGAAAUCAUUAUCAAGCGUGAUUAACAAAUGAAAUGUUACUUUAUGCAUAAAUCUAUAAGAAAUGUAAGUGCCGGAAGAAGAUCAAAGAAACCAAACCUUGACGCAGCAGGACAACAAUGUGAUGUUUUCAACGUGUUGGAUGCUUGGAAGAACUUGACCAACUAAAUCUCCAAUAAAAUGGUUCGUGGAUAACAUGUCACAAUAUUCAUUAAACAAUGUACAUAAGAAUACCCAAUAGUUGCAUGGGUUAAAGAUGAGACAUUCAUCAACAAGCACUUGUUAUAUGGAUUCCUUUAAUUUUUAGUGUUUAAGAUUUGGGGUCCAAAUCUCAGCUCCUAUAAUAGAUGCAUCAUCGCAUUAUCAUCAUAACAUAAAAUAUUGCAAAUCGACAGCUCUUUCAAACUAGUAGAUCGGAUACACAAGCUUUGAGCUCUAAAUUCAAAAGACAUGGUUAAGACUUCCAACUGAGGGCUGCCACACAAUAUUUGAUUAAUCACAUCUUCGGUGACCCCAAAACCAUUCAUAAUUCUCAGGCUCUUGAGUUGAUUCCACUGCACAUUCACCUUAAUUCUAAAGUAACAAUUCUCGAUCGAUAACAUUUUAAGUGAUGAGCAUGAGUACAGAUACUGUGGCACCCAUGAUACAUGGUGAUCUUCCUAAUCCAUGACAUGUCUGGCAUCAGAUUAUGCAAGUAUAAUUCUUCGACUUCAUAUUUCUUGGCAAAUCGGACCCACAAAUCAACAUCUCCACCUGAUUCAUCAUAAUCCGCAACAACCUUGAAUUUCAGAACCUUACCCCAUCCCAGCGUAAUAAAGUCUGGUGAACGAAGUGUCGAAAUUUAUCUGUAGUACUAAAUUGUGAACCAGAUUUAGAUUCAUCAAAAUUAAGGAAAGGGGUGGUGGUCCAGAGGUUUAACCAGCGCUUUGACAGAAUUGUUGUCCUAACAACUUCAUUCAUAGGCAACAACCAAAAUAUGUGAAAUAUAACAGAGUCCGGCAACUCACUGAGUCGAUCCAUCUUCAAAAUCAAAUCAUCCAAAGCAUAAAUUCACCUAAACAUAUUCGGAGCAACAACACAUACUAUCAAAUCCUCGAAGAUUACCUCAAAUGAACGCUUUGUUCUCUCGGAUGCUGCAGCCCAAAAUUGCCCUAGUUUGAGCUAAUCAACAAACACAGAGAGCUCAAAAGCCAUUAAAUCGGGCUGCAAACGAGCUCUGGUCGUCUAUUAGGGCUCGAGCUCGGCUCGUAAAAGGCUCGUUGAGUUGAGCUAGAGAAAGAGCUUGUUCAACAAGUAAGGGGCGAAAGGAUCCAUGGAGGCCGCGACUAGAAGCGACAGAUGUGGCGGCGGAGUCGGUGAAUUUGAAAAAAUCAAUCGACAAAAUGAUGUGCUUUUAGUUCAGCUGAUGGGGUGGCAGGUUGAUAAUGGCGGCGGAAAGUGGAGAAGAUGAAUUGAAUGGUGGCGGGAUUGAUUUCGGCCGGUGUGGGGGUGGGGUGCUGCGGUGGUGGGAGAGAGGCUGGCGACUGAGCGGCGGCGGGUUCGGAAUUGGAGAUGCAAUUUGGGGGAGUUGUGCAUACUGAUUAUUUAUACGUAUUUUUCUAAAAUAUUGAAUUUAAUUAUUAAUUCUAAAAAUAAUUUGAAAUUACACAAACAAAAAUCCAAAACAAUUAAAUGAAAUAGAGAAUUUACAUUACAUGGUAAAAAAGGUUUUUGAAGAUUUAAAAAGAGAAUUUAAUAUCAUACUAUUUAUACCACAUGACAUGACAACAAAAUAUAAACAAUUCUAAUGGACUAAAAGAAAAUAUUUGAAGAUCAUAAUUACUCAAUAUUAUCACGUACAUGUAUGAUUAAAUUAGUAAUCUAUAUAAUAUUAUAUAUAAAAAAAGAUUUUUUUUUUCCUUCAUUUUUUUCCUCUCUUUUCUCUCUCUUUCCACAAUUUUUUUUACUAUUUUUUCUUUUUGUUUUUUUAUAUUUUAAUUAUUUUCUAAACAUCCUCAAUUUGAUUCAUGAAAAAAAAUAUUCAAUAUGCAUUUCAAAUUUAAUAUAGUAUAAAAAUCAUCAAAAAAUAAUUUAAAAAUGAAUAGUUAUGAAAAUUUAAACUUUUUAUUUAUGUUUGUGUACUUGGAAAUAUUUAUUUAUUUAUUUAUUAUGACGCGUACUAUAUAAUAAUAUGCGUAAUGCUAAUUUUAGUAUAGAUAAUUUUAAAUUUAUUUAAUAACUAUAUUUAUCAUUACACUUUUACAAAGUUGAAAAAUUACAUUUUCAAAUUUAUGAUUUUAUUGAGUAACUGAUAUGGAUUAUUACACUUUCUUUUAAAACAUAUUUUGAUUUUUUAAUAUUAUUAUAAUAUUUAUUUAUAUAUUUAAAUAUAUCAUUUAAUUUUAAAUGAAAUAUGUAAUAAUCUAUUUUUAUAUAAAUAAUCUAAUAUGCUCAGUAAAUGUAGAUAAAAUAUUUAAUAAAUUAGUAUUAAUGGUGGUGAUAAAUAUAAUGAUAGUAUACAUUUAUCGAUCUCCUUGAGAUAUAUUUCUUAAAUAUCUGAAAUUAAUAAAAGCAUCAUUUCAAACACUUAUCCUCUACUCUAACAAUAUCUACGAUAAUUUUUAUUUGAAAUAACUGGUAAUAAUUGUUCAUACCCAUAUACUUUAACAUCCAUGACAACAUAAUAAAUAAUUAAAUUUUAAAUAUAAAAAAUUCAAAAUAACAUUUACUAUUAAAAAAAUAAUGUCUCUUGUGCAUACGAGAGUAAAACUAGUUUUUUUAAUGUUUAAAAGUUAGAAACCCAAAAACUUUUUUAUUCCAUGGGCAACUCAAGGAAGCUCCAUCGUGAUUAUGUUUUUUUUCCCCCUUAUUAAUUUUAACAGAAUAUUUAGUUGAUAACUAAGAUAAGAGGUGACAAUUUUAGUUCUCUUUUGCUUAAAUAGUUGAAUACAACAGAAAUCUAAAUGAUCGACGUUUUAUAUGUGAAAGAAAUGAAAUUGUUAACUAUCAUAUGAAGCACAAGAUUAAUUUGACAUUGGGAAGUAAACCAAGAUAAACAACAAUCUAGAUUUCAUCCACAAGAGUGCUACUGAUCAAGGUUUGACAUUGGGUGUAGCACUGAUCAAUUUCUCUGUUUUCACGAACACGUUUGACAAGAAAAAUAGCAAUCAAGGUUUCAUUCAUAGCAAUAAGAAGUUAAUCCAAACGGUGUAAAAUUGCUCCACUGCCCUGAAUAAGCUAAAUACAACCCCAAAAUGAAACAAACAAGGUAACAAAAACUGAGACAGGGUUGAAGAAAAGUAAAAUCCAACUCCCCAUCUCGGAGCAUAAUGCCGUCAUAGCAAAAUAUUAGCCGUCUACGAAGACAAUCAGCUAGUUACCUGGAGUCAUGUGGCAUUCUCCUAUGAUUAAAGACAUAAUUUGGUAAGAUCAAUAUUCAGAGAAAAUCAAUUGAGCAGUUGGGGAGGAUCUUGGCAUUCUCAACAGUUUCUGUGAUGCCAAAAACAAAGAUUUUGAUAGAUGUUGAGGUGGCAUGAUUCCUUUUACUCUGAACACCAUCUUUUCUAGAUUGCUUGCAUAUUUUAACAGAAACUCUAAAAACGGAAAUACGUCGUCAUCCUCAUCCCAAAUAACCUCAACUGUCCUCAACUGCAGAAAGGACUCGGGAGGAUAUGCUUCAAACUUGAGGUAGCUCUUGGAUCAAAGUUGAGUGACUGUUGGUUUUCAUGUAUCUCGUUUCCUACUUUAGAUUCAAGGACUAACUUCUUUAAUUGAGGGAAACUCUCAAGUAGACCUACUAAUAGUUUGUAGUCAUUGAAACAAAAUCCGAGAUGCAAGGACUUGACAUUAGGAAAAGAGGAAUUCAUUUCAUGCUUCUCUUUAUCAUAGCUCCAAGCACCUGAUGUAAAAUAAGUUCAUAAUAAUAAUCAGCUCACUGAAGCAAACACCAAGAAGAUAAAAGGCAACAUUGUUUUUAGGGAUGCAACAAUGACUUCAUCAAAUUAAAAGAAUGUCAAACAUUCCAUAUGAUUUAUAGUUAUUACAAUGCUAACAUACAAGUCACAAGCUUGAUGUUACAAAGUAAUGCAUAUAUAUAAAUUCUAGAAUGGAUAUAAAAAGGAUAGGAGUUAGUUGCAUGAUGAAAGUGGGAACUGUCUCUAAUAUACGUGGUUCACAUGCACACACUAAUUGAAGUUAGAAUUAAGAAAACAUGACUUAACAACUAUGCUCAAUAAAUAAUGAAAACUUCAUCAACAUAUUUAAAACUAAUUUGAUCUCUUCAGCCUCAUUGCUACUCUAUUAAUACAUAACAAAUGCAAGACGCAUAAGAUAGUUUAAGGAAACCGAACCUUGAUGCAACGGAACAUUAACGUGACGUUUUCAACAUGUUGGAUGGUUGAGAGAAUUCGACAGAACAUGUCUCCCAAAAAAUCGUCCGGGGUAAACAAGCCACGCUCAGUGUUCAUCCCAGGAAAGUCCGAAUCAUAUUUAUCAAAACCGUGUAGACCAAAAAACCCAAGAAUUGCGUGGGUUAAAGAUGAGACAUUCACCAAUAGACACUUUUUAUAUGGAGCUCCUUUAAUUUCCAAGGUUUCAAGAUUUGGGGUACAAAUUCUCAGUUCUGAAUCCCAACAUGGAUCAACACGAAAAUAUGAAGACAUGUGAAUCGACAGCACUUUCAAACUAGUAGAUCGUAUACACAAGUUUUCACCUCUAUCUACAAAAGAUAAGAUCAAGACUUCCAACCGAGGACUACCAUAUAAUAUUUGGUUAAUCACAUGUUCAGUGACCCCAAUACCAUUAAUAAUUGUUAAACUUUUCAGUUGAUUCCACUGCACAUUCCUAUAAUUUCUAAAGUUCCAAUCCUGACACCAGAACACUUUAAGAGAUGAGCAUGAGUAUACAUACUGCGGCAACCAGUAUAUGUCGUCAAGAUCAUCAAAAUCAAACAGAAUAUUCAAGUAUAAUUCUUCGACCUCCUUAUCCUUGCCAAAUAGAACCCACAAAUCAGUACCCAAUAACAUGGACUCAUCAGCAUAAGCCGAUUUGAACUUGAAUUUCAGAAGCCUUACCCCAUUCCAGCGCAAUAAGGCCCGAUUAACGAAGUUUUGAAGCUCUCUAGCAUCAUCAAAAUCCAUAGCAGCAUUGUCGAAAUUAAGGUAGGGUGCGGUGAUCCAAAGGUUUUUCCAGCGCUUGGAUAGAAUCGUUGUCCUAACAACAUCAGUCAUAGGCAACGACCAAAAUAUGUGAAAUAUUAACGAGUCCGGCAACUCACUGAGUCGAUCCAUGAAACCCUCUGAAACAUAAUGAAGCAUCAAUGAAUGAAAUGUGCAUCAACAACUCAGAAUUCACCUUUAAUGGAAGCAAAAUAGCACAUUGACAAGAUUACCUCGAGAUGAACGCUUCUUCAUUCUCGCGCCAAAAAAACCCUUGCUUGAGCUGAUGAACAUAACACACGAGACUGAAAAGGCAUUAAAGUUGAAAAUUAAGCGUUGGGUCCCUAAAAUAAAUUCAUCUUUUUAGUUUUGGGACCUCCCCAAAUAAGUUUCUCUUUCUUUGUUUUUAUUUUUGGACAAUUAUCUCACGACUAAUAAUAAUUUAUUUAUUCUUACUUUUUACUUUUUCACCACUUCCAAUACUAAUUACUCCAUCCGUCCGCCAAAAGUAUUCCACAAUUACUAUAUUUGGCGUCAGCAAAAAGUAUUCCACUUUCCUUUUUAAGUCAUGGUCCCACCAUCCACCUUUAUAUUUUAUCCUUACAAACACUCUUUAUUUACAAAAAACUCACCUCAAAUUCAAUCUCAACCACACAUCUCAUAAAGUGGUGGGACCCUUUCUCCACUACAUCAACAUCAUCACCAAUUUUAUUAAACUCCGUGUCCAGCCAAAGUGGAAUACUUUUGGCGGACGGAGGGAGUAUAAUAUUUUUUCACCAUUCCCAAUACUAAUUACUCCAUCCGUCCCACUGCAAUAAGCUCACUUCUUUUGGGCACGGAAAUUAAGAAAAUUUACUUUUUAGUAGCAAAGUGGUAGUAAAGUGGUGUGGUCCACACCAAUUUAGUAGUACAACUUUUUCUUCAAAAUGGAAAAUGAGUUUAUUGGAGUGGGACAUCCCCAAAAGGAAAAUGAACCUAUUAGAGUGGGACGGAUGGAGUAUAGCAUAUUUUUUUCCACUAAUAUACUUUAUCACUUUUUCUUAAAAUUCGUGCUGUCCCCAAAGAGGAAUUUAUUUUGGGGACAGAGGGAGUAUUCCAGAAAUUUGAUGAUGAGAUUCUUUUGGUAAAAAAUUUUUAUAGGGGUUUUAACUAUUUUAAAGUGUUAUUCGUAUAUGUGGAAGAGGCAAUCUGUUUUUCAUUUUGUCACCAACCAAAACCAUUGGCAGAUAACCAUUUUAUCUCUCUUAAUUAAAAAGGGACUUUAAAAUUGGUUUUAAAAAUUUUUAUUUUCAUUUUACUUAAUAUACCUUUUUAUUUAAAACCAAACAUUUCAUUAAAUUUAAAAUUUAAGCAUUACAUUGAUUAAAAUAAAAUAUAAUAAUAAAAAUAUAUUACAAUAAUAUAAAUAAAAUGAAGAGUUGGAAGAGGAGUUGGAAAAAUAAGACAUUAUUAGAGGAGAAAAAUGAAAAAUAAAAGAUGAGUAGUAGUAAUUGAUAAAAUCGAAUAAAUGAAAUACCUAUUUAUAGAUAAAUUUUAUAAUAGAAAAAAGCGAAACAACAGUUGCAGUGACUAAUUAAAAAAAUAGACAAAAAAGAACCAUUGGGAUCAAUUUAAAAUUUAAUUUUAAAAUAGCACGCGCAUAGCAUGCGCCUCAUAUUUAUCGACGAAAAUCCGACAUGAGGCUUAAAGCUCGGCACGAGCUUGAGGUGCGGCACUAGGAGUAGGAGGGCAGUGCGGAUAGCUGUGCUCAUUGUGGCAAUUAGAGUCCCGUUGUGAAUGCUCUAAAUAAGAAUAUAUCUUAUACACUAAUAUAGUGACAUGUAUUUAUUCGUAUGUAUAGUAUUUAUAUUAGGUUCCUUAAGGUCUUCAUUAUAAUACUGUACUUGUUUAAUAUGUUCACCUCGAUCAAUUAACGAACAAGGAUAAUGCAUCAUUCAUUUUUGUUAGAGCUAAUUAGUUUAUUUAUAUGGUUUUAUCUUUUUUAUUAAACUAGCAGAAAUAGCGUCCAUUGUACGCAUAAUUAAUAUUAUUUUAUUUGAUAAAAUAUAAAUAUAAUAUUUAUUAUAUUUAAUUUUCAAUUAACAAUUUGAUCUAUUUAAUUUUUUUAAUUCUAUUAUUUAUCUCUUACCACGAUUAAUUAGAAAGAAUUGGUAAGACCGAGAGAGUAUAAUUAAUUGAUAUAUAUCACAUAAAUUUAGUGUAAUAUCUAAUGAAUUAAUAUAUUCUUAUAAAUAUAUAACAUGUAAAAUAACUUUAAAAUAAAAAUACAAUAGGAAUAAAAUAGGUCAUCCACAUAUUAUGUCUAAAGCACUUUUUAUAUAUUUUUAUAUAUUAGUAUAGAUAUAUUACAUUUAAGAGAAUAUAUAUUGUUAGUUUGCAUUUGUAACAUAUAUUAAUUUGGUUAUGGGCCGGAGUUUGGGCUCACCGUCCUUAAUUUUCAAGCUUCAAUAACUCUAUAAAUAGUAUCAAACCGCAAACACGUUUCUAUGAAAUCUAUUUUUUAAUGUUUAGAACUUAGAAACCCAAAAACUUUUUUAUUCCAUGGGCAACUCACUAUAAGAAGCUCCAUCGUGAUUAUGUUUUUUUUUUCCUUUAUUAAUUUAACACAAUAUUUAGUUGAUAACUAAGAAAAGAGGUGACAGUUUCAGUUCUCUUUUGCUUGAAUACCAACAGAAAUCUAAAUGAUCGACGUUUUAUAUGUUAGAGAAAUGAAAUUGUUAGCUAUCAUAUGAAGCACUAGAUUAAUUUGACAUUGGGAAGUAAAAGCAAGAUAAACAACAAUCUAGAUUAACAAGAGUGCUACUAAUGAAAAUUGCUCUGCUUCCCUAAAUAAGCAAAUAUAUAAAGAACAAUUGAAGACGAAACAAAAGGAUAUCAAGCUCAGCACAUACUGCAUUCCUAUGAUUGAAGACAUAACUUGGUAAGAUCAAUAUUCAAGAAAGUAAAUUGUGCAGUUCAUGAGGUUUCAUUCAUAGCACUAAGAAAUUCAUCCAAAAGUGUCGAACUGCUCUACUGCCCUGAAUAAGCAAAAUACAACAACAAAAUGAAACAAACAAGGUAACAAAAACUGAAACAGGGUUAAAGAAAAGUAAAAUCCAACUCCCCAGAUCGGAGCAUAAUGCCGUCAUUGCAAAAUAUUUACAGAAAAUGUACGACAAACGCUAUUACCCGUCCAAGAAGACAAUCAGCUAGUUACUUGGAGUCAUGUGGCAUUCCUAUGAUUAAAGACAUAACUUGGUAAGAUCAAUAUUCACAGAAAAUCAAUUGAGCAGUUGGGGAGGAUCUUGGCAUUCUCAGCAGUUUCUGUGAUGCCAAAAACAAAGAUCUUGGCAUGAUUCCUUCUACUCUGAACACCAGCUUUUCUAGAUUGCUUGCGUGUUUUAACAAAAACUCUAAAAACGGAAAUACGUCGUCAUCCUCAUCCUCAUCCCAAAUAACCUCAACUGUCCUCAACUGCAAAAAGGACUCGGGAGGAUAUGCUUCAAACUUGAGGUAGCUAUUGGCAUCAAAGUUGAGUGACUCUUGGUUUUUAUGCAUUUCAUAUUCUCCUCUAUCGUCAAGGACUAACUUCUUUAAUUGAGGAAAACUCUCAAGUAGACCUACUAAUAGUUUGUAGUC